ACCUGCGGAGGGAUCAUUACACAAAAAAUAUGCAGGCCAACACUGCGGCUGUGCCCUCGGGCCAGUCUGCUGAGGCUGAAGUAUUUUUCACCCAUGUCUUUUGCGCACUUGUUGUUUCCUGGGCGGGUUCGCUCGCCAUCAGGACCACACCAUAAACCUUUUUUAUGCAGUUGCAAUCAGCGUCAGUAUCACAAAUGUAUAAUCAUUUACAACUUUCAACAACGGAUCUCUUGGUUCUGGCAUCGAUGAAGAACGCAGCGAAAUGCGAUACGUAGUGUGAAUUGCAGAAUUCAGUGAAUCAUCGAAUCUUUGAACGCACAUUGCGCCCUUUGGUAUUCCAAAGGGCAUGCCUGUUCGAGCGUCAUUUGUACCCUCAAGCUUUGCUUGGUGUUGGGCGUUUUUGUCUUGUGCAGCAAGACUCGCCUUAAAACGAUUGGCAGCCGGCCUACUGGUUUCGGAGCGCAGCACAUUUUUGCGCUUGCAACCAGCACAAGAGGCCGGCACUCCAUCAAGUCCUCUUUCUCACAUUUUGACCUCGGAUCAGGUAGG
rnacentral:rRNA from 1 species